UUUUUCCGGACGGUCCGCGGUAUCCUUAACAAACUGACGCCAGAGAUGUUCAAUCAGCUGAUGAAGCAGGUGAAAGAGCUCCACAUCGACACAGAGGAGCGACUUAAGGGUGUCGUCGACCUGAUUUUUGAGAAAGCCAUUGAUGAGCCCAACUUCUCCGUGGGGUACGGGAUCAUGUGUAAAUCUCUGGCUGCGUUAAAUGUGCCCAUGGCCAAAAAACCCAAAAGCGAUGUGAAUUUUUGAAUGCUGCUGCUAAACCAGUGUCAGAAAGAGUUUGAGAAGGACAAAACGAGCAACGAUGUCCUCGAGAAAAAACAGCAGGAACUGGAAGCAGCUGUUUCAGCCAGUAAUCGUGAGAGGCUUCAGGACGAGCUGGAGGAGGCAAAAAACAAAGCUCGCAGAAAAGCUGUUUAAGUUUCGGAUGUUUACUGAGUCCAUCAUUCAUAACUGCGUGGUAAAACUGCUGAAACAAAAUGACGAGGAAAGUCUCGAGUGCCUCUCUAUUCUCCUCACGACCGCCGGCAAAGAGAUGGACUUUAAGAAGGCCAAGAGGUGGAGGUGCAGAAGGUGGAGAAGCAGAUGGUUGAGGAGCAGAUGAUGAAGGAUCAAAAAAGAACAGACUGAAGUCCUUUGGACUUUUGGAGACUUUAGAGAAUACAGUCACACUGCUGCUGAGAAAUCUGGACUGUAU